CCUACGGGAGGCAGCAGUAGGGAAUAUUGCUCAAUGGGGGAAACCCUGAAGCAGCAACGCCGCGUGGAGGAUGAAGGUUUUCGGUUUGUAAACUUCUUUUGUUAGAGAAGAUAAUGACGGUAUCUAACGAAUAAGCACCGGCUAACUACGUGCCAGCAGCCGCGGUAAUACGGAGGGUGCAAGCGUUACUCGGAUUAACUGGGCGUAAAGGGCGCGUAGGCGGGAUAGCAAGUCUGAUGUGAAAUCCUAGGGCUUAACCAUAGAACUGCAUUUGAAACUGUUAUUCUAGAGUGUGGGAGAGGUAGGUGGAAUUCGUGGUGUAGGGGUAAAAUGCGUAGAGAUCAAGAGGAAUACUCAUGGCGAAGGCGACCUGCUAGAACAUAACUGACGCUGAGGCGCGAAAGCGUGGGGAGCAAACAGGAUUAGAUACCCUAGUAGUC
rnacentral:rRNA from 1 species